rnacentral:rRNA from 1 species
GGAAGCAGGGAUCGUAAGACCUUGUGCUUUUGGAGUGGCCGAUGCCUGAUUAGCUAGUUGGUAGGGUAAUGGCCUACCAAGGCGACGAUCAGUAGUUGGUCUGAGAGGACGACCAGCCACACUGGGACUGAGACACGGCCCAGACUCCUACGGGAGGCAGCAGUGGGGAAUUUUGGACAAUGGGCGCAAGCCUGAUCCAGCAAUGCCGCGUGAGUGAAGAAGGCCUUCGGGUUGUAAAGCUCUUUCAGUUGAGAAGAAAAGGUUGUGACUAAUAAUCACAACUCAUGACGGUAUCGACAGAAGAAGCACCGGCUAACUACGUGCCAGCAGCCGCGGUAAUACGUAGGGUGCGAGCGUUAAUCGGAAUUACUGGGCGUAAAGGGUGCGCAGGCGGCUUUGUAAGUCAGAUGUGAAAUCCCCGGGCUUAACCUGGGAAUUGCGUUUGAAACUACAAGGCUAGA